GGGUGUGAGGGCAAUCUGGCUGUGACAUCUGUCAUCCCAAUAAUCACCAGGGCUGAUUUGGCUGAUCUGGCUGGCUGGGUGCCUCCUUCCUCCCUCAUUGCUCCACAUUCUUCCCUCCUUAAACUGCGCUCUCAGUCUAAAAGGACAACCACCCCCAAUAGAGGAGGACUGUUCCUCAGUCAAGGGUAUAGGGGUAGUUGUGCUUUCCUGCUAGAACCUCUAAACAAGCUCCCAAAAAAACAACACGAUCAGACAAGCCACACAUGGUGCAGGGAAGCUGAAGAAUGGGGAUCACAAGUUUAUGUCCAGCCUGUGCAAAUUGGCAAGACCUU
rnacentral:snRNA from 1 species